rnacentral:rRNA from 1 species
AUAUUGGUCAAUGGCCGAGAGGCUGAACCAGCCAAGUCGCGUGAGGGAUGACGGCCCUACGGGUUGUAAACCUCUUUUGUCGGGGAGCAAAGAGAGUCACGUGUGGCUCAUUGAGAGUACCCGAAGAAAAAGCAUCGGCUCAAUCCGUGCCAGCAGCCGCGGUAAUACGGAGGAUGCGAGCGUUAUCCGGAUUUAUUGGGUUUAAAGGGUGCGCAGGCGGAGGUGCAAGUCAGUGGUCAAAUUGCGGGGCUCAACCCCGUACUGCCGUUGAAACUGCAUCCCUUGAGUGCGCGAGAAGUAUGCGGAAUGCGUGGUGUAGCGGUGAAAUGCAUAGAUAUCACGCAGAACUCCGAUUGCGAAGGCAGCAUACCGGCGCGCAACUGACGCUCAUGCACGAAAGCGUGGGUAUCGAACAGG